UUCCGGUUGAUCCUGCCGGACCCGACUGCUAUUAGGGUGAGAAUAAGCCAUGCGAGUUGAAUGGAAUACCUAAAUUUUCCAUAGCAAACUGCUCAGUAACACAUGAUCAACUUACCCUAUAGAGAAGAAUAACCUCGGGAAACUGAGGAUAAUGCUUCAUAGUUGAAAAGGCUUGGAAAAGUUUUUCAAUUAAAGGGAUAAAAAAAAUGGUUUUUAUCUGCUAUAGGAUAGGAUCGUGCUCGAUUAUGGUUGUUGGUGAGGUAAUGGCUCACCAAGCCGAUAAUCGAUAGGGGCCGUGAGAGCGGGAGCCCCGAGAUGGGUACUGAGACAACGACCCAGGCCUUACGAGGCGCAGCAGGCGCGGAACCUCCGCAAUACACGAAAGUGUGACGGGGUUACCCAAAGUGUUCAAUUUUGAACUGUGGUAGGUGAGUAAUGUUCCCUACUAGAAAGGAGAGGGCAAGGCUGGUGCCAGCCGCCGCGGUAAAACCAGCUCUUCAAGUGGUCGGGAUAAUUAUUGGGCUUAAAGUGUCCGUAGCCGGUUUAGUAAGUUCCUGGUAAAAUCGGGUAGCUUAACUAUCUGCAUGCUAGGAAUACUGCUAUACUAGAGGGCGGGAGAGGUCUGAGGUACUACAGGGGUAGGGGUGAAAUCUUAUAAUCCUUGUAGGACCACCAGUGGCGAAGGCGUCAGACUGGAACGUGCCUGACGGUGAGGGACGAAAGCCAGGGGAGCGAACCGGAUUAGAUACCCGGGUAGUCCUGGCCGUAAACGAUGCAUACUAGGUGAUGGCAUGGCCAUGAGCCGUGUCAGUGCCGUAGGGAAACCGUUAAGUGUGCCGCCUGGGAAGUACGGUCGCAAGGCUAAAACUUAAAGGAAUUGGCGGGGGAGCACCACAAGGGGUGAAGCCUGCGGUUCAAUUGGAUUCAACGCCGGG
rnacentral:rRNA from 1 species